UACGGAGGAUCCGAGCGUUAUCCGGAUUUAUUGGGUUUAAAGGGAGCGUAGGCGGGUUGUUAAGUCAGUUGUGAAAGUUUGCGGCUCAACCGUAAAAUCGCAGUUGAUACUGGCAUCCUUGAGUACAGUAGAGGUAGGCGGAAUUCGUGGUGUAGCGGUGAAAUGCUUAGAUAUCACGAAGAACUCCGAUUGCGAAGGCAGCCUGCUGGACUGUAACUGACGCUGAUGCUCGAAAGUGUGGGUAUCAAACAGG
rnacentral:rRNA from 1 species